rnacentral:rRNA from 1 species
UGUAUAAUGGGUCAGCGACUUAUAUUCUGUAGCAAGGUUAACCGAAUAGGGGAGCCGAAGGGAAACCGAGUCUUAACUGGGCGUUAAGUUGCAGGGUAUAGACCCGAAACCCGGUGAUCUAGCCAUGGGCAGGUUGAAGGUUGGGUAACACUAACUGGAGGACCGAACCGACUAAUGUUGAAAAAUUAGCGGAUGACUUGUGGCUGGGGGUGAAAGGCCAAUCAAACCGGGAGAUAGCUGGUUCUCCCCGAAAGCUAUUUAGGUAGCGCCUCGUGAAUUCAUCUCCGGGGGUAGAGCACUGUUUCGGCAAGGGGGUCAUCCCGACUUACCAACCCGAUGCAAACUGCGAAUACCGGAGAAUGUUAUCACGGGAGACACACGGCGGGUGCUAACGUCCGUCGUGAAGAGGGAAACAACCCAGACCGCCAGCUAAGGUCCCAAAGUCAUGGUUAAGUGGGAAACGAUGUGGGAAGGCCCAGACAGCCAGGAUGUUGGCUUAGAAGCAGCCAUCAUUUAAAGAAAGCGUAAUAGCUCACUGGUCGAGUCGGCCUGCGCGGAAGAUGUAACGGGGCUAAACCAUGCACCGAAGCUGCGGCAGCGACGCUUAUGCGUUGUUGGGUAGGGGAGCGUUCUGUAAGCCUG